rnacentral:rRNA from 1 species
ACUACGGGGGGCAGCAGUGAGGAAUAUUGGUCAAUGGGCGAGAGCCUGAACCAGCCAAGUCGCGUGAAGGAUGACGGCCCUACGGGUUGUAAACUUCUUUUGUCAGGGAGCAAUGGGGUCCACGCGUGGGCUUAGCGAGAGUACCUGAAGAAAAAGCAUCGGCUAACUCCGUGCCAGCAGCCGCGGUAACACGGGGGACGCGAGCGUUUUCCGGAUUUUUUGGGUUAAAAGGGUGCGUGGGCGGAAUAUCAAGUCGGGGGGAAAACUUCGGGGCUCAACCCCGUCGUGCAGUUGAAACUGAUGUUCUUGAGUGGGCGAGAAGUAUGCGGAAUGCGUGGUGUAGCGGUGAAAUGCAUAGAUAUCACGCAGAACUCCGAUUGCGAAGGCAGCAUACCGGCGCCCAACUGACGCUGAAGCACGAAAGCGUGGGUAGCGAACAGGAUUAGAUACCCUAGUAGUC